AUUGAACGCUGGCGGCAGGCUUAACACAUGCAAGUCGAGCGGAGUGAUGGUGCUUGCACUAUCACUUAGCGGCGGACGGGUGAGUAAUGCUUAGGAAUCUGCCAUUUAGUGGGGGACAACAUUCCGAAAGGAAUGCUAAUACCGCAUACGUCCUACGGGAGAAAGCAGGGGAUCUUCGGACCCUACGCUAAAUGAUGAGCCUAAGUCGGAUUAGCUAGUUGGUGGGGUAAAGGCCUACCAAGGCGACGAUCUGUAGCGGGUCUGAGAGGAUGAUCCGCCACACUGGGACUGAGACACGGCCCAGACUCCUACGGGAGGCAGCAGUGGGGAAUAUUGGACAAUGGGCGGAAGCCUGAUCCAGCCAUGCCGCGUGUGUGAAGAAGGCCUUUUGGUUGUAAAGCACUUUAAGCGAGGAGGAGGCUCUCCUAGUUAAUACCUAGGAAGAGUGGACGUUACUCGCAGAAUAAGCACCGGCUAACUCUGUGCCAGCCGCCGCAGUAAGAC
rnacentral:rRNA from 1 species